rnacentral:rRNA from 1 species
GAUGAACGCUGGCGGCGUGCCUAAUACAUGCAAGUCGAGCGAACAGACGAGGAGCUUGCUCCUCUGACGUUAGCGGCGGACGGGUGAGUAACCCGUGGAUAACCUACCUAUAAGACUGGGAUAACUUCGGAAAACCGGAGCUAAUACCGGAUAAUAUAUUGAACCGCAUGGUUCAAUAGUGAAAGACGGUUUUGCUGUCACUUAUAGAUGGAUCCGCGCCGCAUUAGCUAGUUGGUAAGGUAACGGCUUACCAAGGCAACGAUGCGUAGCCGACCUGAGAGGGUGAUCGGCCACACUGGAACUGAGACACGGUCCAGACUCCUACGGGAGGCAGCAGUAGGGAAUCUUCCGCAAUGGGCGAAAGCUUGACGGAGCAACGCCGCGUGAGUGAUGAAGGUCUUCGGAUCGUAAAACUCUGUUAUUAGGGAAGAACAAAUGUGUAAGUAACUAUGCACGUCUUGACGGUACCUAAUCAGAAAGCCACGGCUAACUACGUG